rnacentral:rRNA from 1 species
UACAGAGGUCCCAAGCGUUGUUCGGAUUCACUGGGCGUAAAGGGUGCGCAGGUGGGUUUGCAAGUUCGACGUGAAAGCCCCGGGCUUAACCCGGGAAUGGCAUUGGAUACUGCAGAUCUGGAGGAUCGGAGGGGGGACUGGAAUUCCUGGUGUAGCGGUGAAAUGCGCAGAUAUCAGGAGGAACACCGGUGGCGAAGGCGGGUCUCUGGGCCGAUACUGACGCUGAGGAGCGAAAGCGUGGGGAGCGAACAGG